UACGUAGGGUGCAAGCGUUACUCGGAAUUACUGGGCGUAAAGCGUGCGCAGGCGGCUGUGCAAGCCAGAUGUGAAAUCCCCGGGCUCAACCUGGGAACUGCAUUUGUGACUGCACAGCUAGAGUACGGCAGAGGGGGAUGGAAUUCCGCGUGUAGCAGUGAAAUGCGUAGAUAUGCGGAGGAACACCGAUGGCGAAGGCAAUCCCCUGGGCCUGUACUGACGCUCAUGCACGAAAGCGUGGGGAGCAAACAGG
rnacentral:rRNA from 1 species